rnacentral:rRNA from 1 species
GACGAACGCUGGCGGCGUGCCUAAUACAUGCAAGUCGAACGAGAGCGACCUGUGCUUUCACUGGUCAAUCUAGUGGCUAACGGGUGAGUAACACGUGGGUAACCUGCUCAUCAUAGGUGGAUAACAUUCUGAAACGGAUGCUAAAACCGCAUCGUUCUUCGAACCGCAUGGUUUGAAGAGUAAACGAGGCGCAAGCUUCUGCUUAUGGAUGUACCCGCUGUGCAUUAGCUAGUUGUUGAGGUAACGGCUCACCAAGGCCGUGAUGCAUAGCCGACCUGAGAGGGUGAUCGGCCACAUUGGAACUGAGACACGGCCCAAACUCCUACGGGAGGCAGCAGUAGGGAAUAUUCCGCAAUGGACGCAAGUCUGGCGGAGCAAAGCCGCGUGAGUGAAGAAGGUUUUCGGAUCGUAAAACUCUGUUGUUAGAGAAGAAUAAGUGCUAGAGUAAAUGUUAGCGCCUUGACGGUACCUAAACAGAAAGCAACGGCUAACUACGUG